GAACUGAAGAGUUUGAUCAUGGCUCAGAUUGAACGCUGGCGGCAGGCCUAACACAUGCAAGUCGAGCGGAUGAAGGGAGCUUGCUCCUGGAUUCAGCGGCGGACGGGUGAGU
rnacentral:rRNA from 1 species